rnacentral:rRNA from 1 species
AUGAUAUUAUUUCAAAAUAAGAGGAUAAAUUGCCUGCAUUUGCAAAUUUGUAUUUCACAGUCGACAGGAAUCGAGAAGAAACAUAUAUGGCAGUUCAGGAGAGAGGUCAGGUGUCCAUUUUGCAUCGUUGGCCAACGUGCUGCCGAUGCUGCCAGAGAAGCAUAUUUGCACGAGGUGAGCAGAAGAAGCAGCCUCCCCGUGGACAUUACCCCUUGCCAAGUGGUGAUGGCAUCACGGACGCCUGCGGAUGUGCAUCAGCAGUCGACACGAUGUCCCGAAGAUGCACUGGUAAGGGAGCGCAUACCCGAGAGGUGGUGA